UCUGUUUUUGUUUUUUUUUUUUUUUUUUUUUUUUAUUGUAAUCCAGGGGUUCCCCGCUUACGCGGAUCAUUCCUCUGGGCCCGGUCAGGCAGCAGGCCAGCUUCACCCGGGAGGUUUUUCCCUGGGCCCGAAGGCCUAGUACCCGCUUUAGUGUCCAGACGAGGCAGGGUAGUUUCCGCAUGGGAGAGGAUCGAACCCGGAUUGUUUUAGCAACCCAAGCCCGUCCUUCCACUUGGACUACCUUG
rnacentral:lncRNA from 1 species